AGUAGAAUUGGUCUACUGUGUGUUAAGCAUCACAAAAAGAUUGUGUGCCAUUCCUACUGUGCACAUUUAUGUAGUACCUCAUAGCAGAGGUACUAAACUUAAUGCACAGUAGCAACAGCAUAUUAAUGCAUGUGUAGACACGCCCACUUAAAUAUCCAAUAGAUGGAAUAGGAUCUGGCUUUCUACAACCUCAUUUACCUGAGAAAAUUGUACCACUUUCAGUAAACUCCCAACAGUUAAGCUAUGUGGGAUGCAAGGGUUUCUUAGGGUGAUUAUCUUUUAUUAGACCAACUGUGUAGCUGGGAUAGAGUUACAAGAUUUCCAAACCAGGACAUUCUUUUUCAGGUCUUAUAGAUGUAAUUGCAGAUUUUGUUACUGUUCAUAUAAAAGUCAAAUCUUUUUACAGUUCUCUUAAACUCUAUACCUCAAUACUACCUUUAUGGCUUGGAGUUCCACAGCUUAAUUAUUCAUAUUAUGAUUGUUGUCAGUUUUAAGUUUGUCAUCUAUGAAUGUAAUUAGCUGCUACUUUAUCUGUGUAUUAUGAGUAUGAAUUCAUUUCAACCUCUAAGGAACCUUCUGUGUACUGUUUGCUAUUUUAUUGACAUCCACUAUGUCACCUCUUGUUUAUUUCUUUUAAAGUAGAUAGUCUGUAUCUAGAUACAGUGGUUACUGCUGAGCUUUCCCUAUUUCUGCUUACUCUUUUUGUGUGUGCAUUUUCAACGGUAAAAUGUGAAAAUGAAAGCAGAACACCUCUGACUCUGAUUCUGUUGAAAAUCCUGAGUAACCAACUGGAACACUGCAAUCAAGGGAUGCCCAAGGCUCUUCCUGAAGUGGUGAUUAGUUAAUAAGGAUUUCCAGUAUGCUUCACAUUGCACUUACCUUUAUUGAACUUCAUCUGUAAUUAUGCUGUGCCAUUGCCAUGCUCUGGUCGGGGUUGGCAACCUUUAGCAGCAACAGGUCAAAGUAACAAAGCUCGAUUUGAAGAUUUGCCUACAUAAUCUUAAGUGGAGAAUUCAUGCCUAUUGCCCUCUGAACAAAGUCCCUGGCUCUCAUGAUUCAUUCCAUUUUGGAGGAUGCUGUAGGUGAAAAGAGGCCUGCUGUAGAAAACUGCUCUCAGAGAAUGCCUGAACAUUAAUAGGUAAUUUUAGCAGGCAAAGCUUUAUAAUCUUUCAAAGUACAAUUAAUGACAACAUCAGAAUAGAAUAGUUUGUAACAGAUGGCAGCUAUGUAAAUACAGGUUCUCAAGCUUGCAAAAGACCUUCUGAAGAAUACUGCUCUUAAUGCUAGCACAGACUGAUCAAGUGGAGGUUAUUCUGUUAGAGUCAUUUUUACUGUUCAUCCACUUUUCCUGGAAACUAGGUUUGUGCUAGUAAUGCUUUGCCAGUAUAGUAAUAUGGGCAAAGCACUCCUGGUAUGACUGCAAAGGGCUGUCUUAUUUAGGGCAACACUGCCUUAAAUAAAAUAAGCUAUACUGGCAAAUGCAUGGUUUUGCCAGGAUAACUGCAUAUCCGCUAAAGGCUUUGGCCAGCACAGCCUUGUUGGUCAAGAAUCAUACCUCUAGCCCUCCUGACCCACGUGUAUUAGCAGAGGUUUGUAGAGGGUUGAUAUAGUUACAAUUUUAUGUCAUGCAUCUGUGAAGAGCACUAGAGAGAUUUAACAAAGCUCAGUAACUAAGCAGAAUGAUGGCAGAAUUUCAGUGCGCCAGAUCUUCAGUUGGUGUAAAUAGGCAUAAUACCAAUUUUUAGGUAAUUGGUUCAAUUCAGCCCAGGUCAGUAGUGGCAGAAACUGACACCAUUUGACAGUUAUCCAGGAAUCUGUAUAGUAUUUGAAAUUAAUUAUCUCUGUCUAAUUCUUAGUGUCAAGUGUUCAGUCCUUGAAGUACAAUAACAAUUGAACCCCUUGAUGGCAAUCUCAGCAAAGGCGAAUGUGGGAUGUACUAUAGAGAUCAUAGUAUCUCCUGUCCUACCUAGUUAGAGGAGAUAAGGUUGUUACACAUCACCUGAGCAUCAGAGCGAUUUCUGUGGCUGCCAGUCUUUCUUACACAAGCAUGGUUUCCUGCUUUAAGUCCACUAACCCGCUCAUCAAUUUGGGCUUAUUUGGAGGGAGCUGCAAGUUCAUCCGCUACAUCAUAAAUUUUGCUUGCUGAAGACCCACAUUUUGCAAGAACAGUGGUUUCUUAGUUUCUAUAGGAAGUGAAUAAAUCCUUCUUUGCUACCAGUAUUUAUUUUUAACCAAAUUCACUGUAACUUCCACUUGUCUCUGGGAACUUCUGAGUUUCUUCUUGAGAUUACUUUUCACAUUUUACAUUGACAAAACAAUGUCAAAUAAUGUGAUUAGGAAAAGUUAGGAGGUUUCUUAGUGGUGAAGAUAAGGGAAAAAUAAUUGUAUCAGUGUGAGCAUGGGCACCACCUUCUGAAGUAACAUUGCACUGAAAGAACCCUCAACUGGCCAUCGACAGUGGACUCCAGCGCUUGGGGAUAGGUAUAUAUUGACACUGGUGCUUAGUGUUCAUAGGUAGCUACUGUGAGUGUGUGUGUGUGUGUGUGUGUGUGUGUGUGUGUGUGCGCGCGUGCGUGAAUGUGUGCGUGUUUCAGGGGAUCAGCCUCAACGUUUAUGAUCUGACUUUUGCAUCCGUCUAAUAAACUAGAAUUAUAUGAUGAUCCUGUGAGUUGGUCCUUUGUAGCCAACACUAGUAUAUCCCCCACGUGCAUUAAUUUCCAUAUAGGCAUAGUUUUCGUAAACAUUCUUCAUGCUUAAUCUGUUAUUAUCUUCAAUUUAUGCUUCCUAUUU